GGUUCUUCCCGAUGGCAUGGGCAACUUAGGCCUGAGUUCUUCCUGUCCGCGACGUGUCUAACGACCAUCGUAAGGAGGAUAGUAGCACCAUGGAAAGGCUAAACCAACAGGGCCAGUGUUGUGACCGUAUACUCAAAAUGCUGCGAUGUCACCCGGUGUAAUCAAGAAAUGUUACGUUUUCGCUAGGAGCUAAUCAAAAUAGGGUGUUUUCAAUUAAUCAUUCCAACUUCCGAUAUGAUAAUCGAAAAAAUGAUCGACAUCACCUCAAACAUCGACACAUUCGAAUGAGCCAAAGGAACAUCAACGCCUAUGCCGACCAAUUAGUGCGCAUACCAAUUGACUCAUUCAACCAUACACACAUGCUCACAACGACUGGUAUAACACAGGUGGUCCGGAAACCCCGGAACGGUUGAUCGCUGCUAUCCUUCCUCAGGCCGCGUCGAGCAAAUCACUGUAACUGAUCAAAUUGCUGUAUGGUGGAUCAGUGACCAUAACAAAGAAUGCACAACCUCUUCGGACUUUCUGCAUCUAACGGUGGCGCUGUAUCUGAUGUUUGUAUUCUCUAGAUGACAAUGAAAGAAAGUUGGGAUU
rnacentral:lncRNA from 14 species